rnacentral:rRNA from 1 species
AGCGUUAUCCGGAUUUAUUGGGUUUAAAGGGUGCGUAGGCGGUUUGAUAAGUUAGAGGUGAAAUUUCGGGGCUCAACCCUGAACGUGCCUCUAAUACUGUUGAGCUAGAGAGUAGUUGCGGUAGGCGGAAUGUAUGGUGUAGCGGUGAAAUGCUUAGAGAUCAUACAGAACACCGAUUGCGAAGGCAGCUUACCAAACUAUAUCUGACGUUGAGGCACGAAAGCGUGGGGAGCAAACAGGAUUAGAUACCCUGGUAGUCCACGCAGUAAACGAUGAUAACUCGUUGUCGGCGAUACACAGUCGGUGACUAAGCGAAAGCGAUAAGUUAUCCACCUGGGGAGUACGUUCGCAAGAAUGAAACUCAAAGGAAUUGACGGGGGCCCGCACAAGCGGAGGAACAUGUGGUUUAAUUCGAUGAUACGCGAGGAACCUUACCCGGGCUUGAAAGUUACUGACGAUUCUGGAAACAGGAUUUCCCUUCGGGGCAGGAAACUAGGUGCUGCAUGGUUGUCGUCAGCUCGUGCCGUGAGGUGUCGGGUUAAGUCCCAUAACGAGCGCAACCCCUACCGUUAGUUGCCAUCAGGUCAAGCUGGGCACUCUGGCGGGACUGCCGGUGUAAGCCGAGAGGAAGGUGGGGAUGACGUCAAAUCAGCACGGCCCUUACGUCCG